rnacentral:misc_RNA from 1 species
CCUAUCUCAGAGAUCGAUCUUCAUCUGGUUCUCUCUUGCUGCCUAUCAAGUCGUCAAACUAGACCAUCAGUGAUCUUCAUCUGUUUUCAAGAAAAAUUAUGAUGUCUACUGCAAAUUUCAAAUUGGAAGCUCACCGUUGUAGUCUAACAGUGUUAUUGGACAAUCUUAUUGAUAGCUUAAAGGAUUAUGCAAAUUCAGGUCUUACAUUAAAGGACUAUCUUUUGUUUUUAGAUGGAAGGGCUAAAAGAAUGUUUGGACAUUUAAGAUUCUGUUAUAUGUCAAAAAUAGAUUUUGAUAAGUUAAAACGUGAAGGGAAAUGCUGUCCUGAUGUAACAGAUACAUGUCCCUGUUCUUUUCUAGCUAUGAAAGUAUCUAUCAUACAAAAGCAUAUUAAUGAAAAUGAAACUUUGAAAUCAGCUGGUGACAAUUUUUCUUACUUUUCGCUGGUGAAAAUCGGGUCAAUAGAUUUAGACUUGAAAAGGGACAAGCAGGUGAUCCUGCAUUUCUGAUCUCCAUAUUCAAAACUUUUCCAAGAAGAGAAACCAGAAGUUUGUGUCAAACUCAAACUGAUGGAGUCUGUCAUAUUAAGGAAACAAAAGCUUUGUCAGAUGAAAAAUAUCAUGAAACAAAUGAUUAUAUCAAAAGAGAUUUAUUAACCAGCUUGUACAUCCUUUUUCCUAUUAAUGAUGAUUGAAUAAAUGUCUGUAUUCUACUUUAAUUAUAUGUAUUUGAUGUUUUCUUGUAUUGGAAAUAAAAAUGAAUUGAA